rnacentral:rRNA from 1 species
AACCAGCACCUCAAGUGGUCAGGAUGAUUAUUGGGCCUAAAGCAUCCGUAGCCGGUUCUGUUAGUUUUCGGUUAAACCCAUGUGCUCAACACAUGGGCUGCCGAAAAUACUGCAGGGCUAGGGAGUGGGAGAGGUAGACGGUACUCGAUAGGAAGGGGUAAAAUCCUUUGAUCUAUUGAUGACCACCUGUGGCGAAGGCAGCCAACAAUGCCAUUACUGACGCUGAGGGACGAAAGCGUGGGGAGCGAACAGG